AAGUCGUAACAAGGUUUCCGUAGGUGAACCUGCGGAAGGAUCAUUAACAAAAUCUAAUUUUACCUUUGUGAAUUGGGUGAUUGAGAAAUCGGUCACUUACUUUUUUACUUUUAGUCUAAAUCUAUACAAUAAUUAUAUAAUAAUUUUUAACAAUGGAUCUCUAGGCUCUU
rnacentral:misc_RNA from 1 species